UUAAGUUCAGCGGGUAGUCCUACCUGAUUUGAGCUCAGAGUUCAGAAAUUUGUCCGAAGACGGUUAGAAGCGCGAACACUAGAAUACCCUCCACAGCAACGCAGAUAAUUAUCACGCUGAAGCGGCUGGUAACGUUCGCACUAAUGCAUUUCAGAGGAGCCGACUACGAGAGCCGGCACGACCUCCAAGUCCAAGCCUUC
rnacentral:misc_RNA from 1 species